UACGUAGGGGGCAAGCGUUGUCCGGAAUUAUUGGGCGUAAAGAGCGUGUAGGCGGUCCGGUAAGUCAGCUGUGAAAGUCAAGGGCUCAACCCUUGAAAGCCGGUUGAUACUGUCGGGCUAGAGUCCGGAAGAGGCGAGUGGAAUUCCCGGUGUAGCGGUGAAAUGCGCAGAUAUCGGGAGGAACACCAAUGGCGAAGGCAGCUCGCUGGGACGGUACUGACGCUGAGACGCGAAAGCGUGGGAGCAACAGG
rnacentral:rRNA from 1 species